GGCUCCAUAGUGUAGUGGUUAGCACGUCUGCUUUACAUGCAGAUGGUCCUGGGUUCGCACCCCAGGUGGAGCCA
rnacentral:tRNA from 1 species